rnacentral:rRNA from 1 species
CCUACGUGUGGCAGCAGUGGGGAAUAUUGCACAAUGGGGGAAACCCUGAUGCAGCGACGCCGCGUGAGUGAAGAAGUAUUUCGGUACGUAAAGCUCUAUCAGCAGGGAAGAAAAUGACGGUACCUGACUAAGAAGCCCCGGCUAACUACGUGCCAGCAGCCGCGGUAAUACGUUGGGGGCAAGCGUUAUCCGGAUUUACUGGGUGUAAAGGGAGCGUAGACGGCGGCGCAAGUCUGGAGUGAAAUCCCCGGGCUCAACCCUGGAACUGCUUUGGAAACUGUGGAACUGGAGUGCAGGAGAGGUAAGCGGAAGUCCUGGUGUAGCGGUGAAAUGCGGAGAUAGUAGGAGGAACACCAGUGGCGAAGGCGGCUUACUGGACUGUAACUGACGUUGAGGCUCGAAAGCGUGGGGAGCAAACAGGAUUAGAUACCCUUGGAGUC